GACAGAGGGUGCAAACGUUGUUCGGAAUUACUGGGCGUAAAGCGCGUGUAGGCGGCCCUGCAAGUCGGAUGUGAAAUCCCACGGCUCAACCGUGGAAGUGCAUUUGAAACUGCAGGGCUAGAGUCCUGGAGAGGAAGGUGGAAUGCUUGGUGUAGAGGUGAAAUUCGUAGAUAUCAAGCGGAACACCGGUGGCGAAGGCGGCCUUCUGGACAGUGACUGACGCUGAGACGCGAAAGCGUGGGGAACAAACAGG
rnacentral:rRNA from 1 species